GAUGAACGCUGGCGGCGUGCCUAAUACAUGCAAGUCGAGCGAACAGACGAGGAGCUUGCUCCUCUGACGUUAGCGGCGGACGGGUGAGUAACACGUGGAUAACCUACCUAUAAGACUGGGAUAACUUCGGGAAACCGGAGCUAAUACCGGAUAAUAUAUUGAACCGCAAGGUUCAAUAGUGAAAGACGGUUUUGCUGUCACUUAUAGAUGGAUCCGCGCCGCAUUAGCUAGUUGGUAAGGUAACGGCUUACCAAGGCAACGAUGCGUAGCCGACCUGAGAGGGUGAUCGGCCACACUGGGACUGAGACACGGUCCAGACUCCUACGGGAGGCAGCAGUAGGGAAUCUUCCGCAAUGGGCGAAAGCCUGACGGAGCAACGCCGCGUGAGUGAUGAAGGUCUUCGGAUCGUAAAACUCUGUUAUUAGGGAAGAACAAAUGUGUAAGUAACUAUGCACGUCUUGACGGUACCUAAUCAGAAAGCCACGACUAACUACGUG
rnacentral:rRNA from 1 species